CCAAUAGCGUAUAUUAAAGUUGUUGCAGUUAAAAAGCUCGUAGUUGAAUUUCGGGACUAAUAUGUCGGUCGUGCCCCGGUACGAACUGGUUUAUUGGUCUCUCCUUUCUGAAGAACCAUGAUGUCAUUUAUUUGGUGUCGUGGGGAAUCAGGACUGUUACUUUGGAAAAAUUAGAGUGUUUAAAGCAGGCUCACGCUUGAAUACAUUAGCAUGGAAUAAUGAAAUAGGACGUUUGAUUCUAUUUUGUUGGUUUCUAGGAUCGACGUAAUGAUUAAUAGGGAUAGUUGGGGGCAUUAGUAUUCAAUUGUCAGAGGUGAAAUUCUUGGAUUUAUUGAAGACUAACUACUGCGAAAGCAUUUGCCAAGGAUGUUUUCAUUAAUCAAGAACGAAAGUUAGGGGAUCGAAGACGAUCAGAUACCGUCGUAGUCUUAACCAUAAACUAUGCCGACUAGGGAUCGGAUGAUGUUAAUUCUUUAAUGACUCAUUCGGCGCCUUACG
rnacentral:rRNA from 1 species